GACGUAGGGCGCGAGCGUUGUCCGGAUUUAUUGGGCGUAAAGAGCUCGUAGGCGGCUUGGUAAGUCGGGUGUGAAACCUCCAGGCUCAACCUGGAGACGCCACUCGAUACUGCUAUGGCUAGAGUCCGGUAGGGGAGCGUGGAAUUCCUGGUGUAGCGGUGAAAUGCGCAGAUAUCAGGAGGAACACCAAUGGCGAAGGCAGAUCUCUGGGCCGUAACUGACGCUGGAGGAGCGAAAGCAUGGGGAGCGAACAGG
rnacentral:rRNA from 1 species